CAGACCUGUCACCAGCAUGAGGUUCGCGGUGUUGUGCAUUGCUCUGGCCGUCGCAUCUGCCAUUCCGGUGCCAGUAUCCGGAGGAGCUUUGGCGUUUAACAAGAUGCCAGCAGCGUUUGCCUAUGCGCGCACGGCCUCGGCGCCAGGAAUCAUGCCUCCCGCUGUAGCCAGCCUGAUGAAGAAGUACCAACCCUCCUCUGCUGCGUUCAUGCCUGCCGGUGGAGCAUAUUGAUGUCUCUGCUGCACAAAAUUUGUAAUACUCAUUGCAAAAAACUGACUUACCGAUGUAUAUACCAACUGUGAGAAUUAUUUUUAUCGCUUGGUAAAGCCUUUUCAUGUUAAUAAAGACACAUUUUCUCCAUUCUGGCUUUGUCCUUCGUCAGUAUAUAGUGUUCGAAUGUUAAUUUUUAGUAUCCGAAUUCUUUUCCAGCUUUGGAACAUAUACACACACACAAACACACACACACACACACA